rnacentral:rRNA from 1 species
GACGAACGCCGGCGGCGUGCUUAAUACAUGCAAGUCAACUUGACUUUAGAUAGCAAUAUCGAAAAGUAGGGUGGCGCACGGUGCGUAACGCGUAGGUAAUCUGCCCUGAGGUCUGACAUAACCCGUCGAAAGGCGGGCUAACAUCAGAUGAUAUAUAAUCACGACAUCGUGGAAAUAUCAAAUCUUCGGAGCCUUGGGAUGAGCCUGCGUCUGAUUAGGUAGUUGGCGGAGUAAUAGCCCACCAAGCCUACGAUCAGUAGCUGGUCUGAGAGGAUGAUCAGCCACACUGGAACUGAGACACGGUCCAGACUCCUACGGGAGGCAGCAGUAAGGAAUAUUGCACAAUGGGGGAAACCCUGAUGCAGCAACGCCGCGUGAGUGAUGACGGCCUUCGGGUUGUAAAGGCUCUGUCUUCUAGGGACGAGUAAUAGACGGUACC